UUCCUUAAGACUACAUAUAUCUUGAAAAUGGCUUCAAGUGAAUGUCAUUCUAACUUUUGUUUCUAGGUCUGGAAGAAAGUGGUAUAUGUAGAUAGAUUACUGCAGCUCUUCAGAUAUGUUCAUCGUGAGCAGUUGUUGACCAUCCCUGACUUUGUGUUCCAUAUAGAGCUAGAAGGAAGGACACUUACACCCAAAUGGAAUUGGAUGAGGUGCGAGAAGAAUUGGCAACUCAUGUCCUAGAAUGACUUUUUGAUUGAGCUAAACAUUCCUUCAUUUUACAUGUCUUUCUAGCUAGUAUUUUGUGGUGUAGGGCUGGUAAAUUUGUGAUUUGGAUGUGACAAGUAUGGAUAAUUCAAGUAUUUUGCGCAUAUA